rnacentral:rRNA from 1 species
CGCGUAGGCGGCCCGGUAAGUCCGCUCUGAAAGUCCAAGGCUCAACCUUGGAAUGCGGGUGGAUACUGCCGGGCUAGAGUCCGGAAGAGGCGAGUGGAAUUCCUGGUGUAGCGGUGGAAUGCGCAGAUAUCAGGAGGAACACCCAUAGCGAAGGCAGCUCGCUGGGACGGUACUGACGCUAAGGCGCGAAAGCGUGGGGAGCGAACA